rnacentral:rRNA from 1 species
UUAAAAAGCUCGUAGUUGAAUUUCUGCUACAUUGCCUAUUCUCCUUUACGAGUUUGGGUCUUUUGUGGCUUAUCUGGGUUCGCUUGCGUUCCCGGUGUUUUACUUUGAGAAAAUUAGAGUGCUCAAAGCAGGCUUUUGCCUUGAAUAGUUUAGCAUGGAAUAAUAAAGUAGGACUUUGGUUCUAUUUUGUUGGUUUUAGGUACCAAAGUAAUGGUUAAUAGGAACAGUUGGGGGCAUUCGUAUUUAACUGUCAGAGGUGAAAUUCUU